rnacentral:rRNA from 1 species
CUGAUCUCACUCAGGUAGGAUAGAC